rnacentral:hammerhead_ribozyme from 1 species
AUCCACUUGAAGAGUCCCAAACAGGAUGAAACGUGCGUCGUGGAU